rnacentral:rRNA from 1 species
UACGGGGGGAGCAAGCGUUGUUCGGAAUUACUGGGCGUAAAGGGCGCGUAGGCGGCCUGCUAAGUCGAACGUGAAAUCCCCGAGCUCAACUCGGGAACUGCGUCCGAUACUGGCAGGCUUGAAUCCGGGAGAGGGAUGCGGAAUUCCAGGUGUAGCGGUGAAAUGCGUAGAUAUCUGGAGGAAUACCGGUGGCGAAGGCGGCAUCCUGGACCGACAUUGACGCUGAACGGCGAAAGCUAGGGGAGCAAACGGG